GAUGAAGAACGCAGCGAAAUGCGAUAAGUAAUGUGAAUUGCAGAAUUCAGUGAAUCAUCGAAUCUUUGAACGCACCUUGCGCUCUUUGGUAUUCCGAAGAGCAUGCCUGUUUGAGUGUCAUGAAAAUAUCAACCUUGACUUGGGUUUUGUGCUCUAGUCUCGGCUUGGAAUUGGGUGCUUGCCGCUUUUACGAGCGGCUCACCUUAAAUGUAUUAGCUGGAUCUGUCUUUGAGACUUGGUUUGACUUGGCGUAAUAAGUAUUUCGCUAAGGACAUUCUUCGGAGUGGCCUCGUUUCUAGGACGCUUGUCCGCUUUCCAAUACAAGUUCCACCUCGUGGUCAUGACUUUUUAUUAUCUGGCCUCAAAUCAGGUAGGACUACCCGCUGAACUUAAGCAUAUCAAUAAGCGGAGGA
rnacentral:misc_RNA from 1 species